AGCAGCCGCGGUAAUUCCAGCUCCAAUAGCGUAUAUUAAAGUUGUUGCAGUUAAAAAGCUCGUAGUUGAACUUCGGGAUCAAUACGUCGGUCGUGCUUCGGUACGUACUGGCGUAAUUGAUUUCUCCCUUCUGACGAACCAUGAUGUCAUUAACUUGGUGUCAUGGGAAAUCAGGACUGUUACUUUGAAAAAAUUAGAGUGUUUAAAGCAGGCUCACGCUUGAAUACAUUAGCAUGGAAUAAUGAAAUAGGACGUUCGAUCCUAUUUUGUUGGUUUUUAGGAUCAACGUAAUGAUUAAUAGGGAUAGUUGGGGGCAUUAGUAUUCAAUUGUCAGAGGUGAAAUUCUUGGAUUUAUUGAAGACUAACUACUGCGAAAGCAUUUGCCAAGGAUGUUUUCAUUAAUCAAGAACGAAAGUUAGGGGAUCGAAGACGAUCAGAUACCGUCGUAGUCUUAACCAUAAACUAUGCCGACUAGGGAUCGGAUGAUGUUAAUUUUUUUAAUGACUCAUUCGGCGCCUUA
rnacentral:rRNA from 1 species